rnacentral:rRNA from 1 species
CAUGCAAGUCGAGGGGUAUAGUAGCAAUACUAGAGACCGGCGCACGGGUGCGUAACGCGUAUGCAAUCUACCUUUUACAGUGGGAUAGCCCAAAGAAAUUUGGAUUAAUACCACAUAGUAUAUCAUUUUCGCAUGAAGGAGAUAUUAAAGUCACAACGGUAAAAGAUGAGCAUGCGUCCCAUUAGUUAGUUGGUAAGGUAACGGCUUACCAAGACUACGAUGGGUAGGGGUCCUGAGAGGGAGAUCCCCCACACUGGUACUGAGACACGGACCAAACUCCUACGGGAGGCAGCAGUGAGGAAUAUUGGACAAUGGGCGCAAGCCUGAUCCAGCCAUGCCGCGUGCAGGAUGACGGUCCUAUGGAUUGUAAACUGCUUUUAUACAAAAAAAAACCCUCCGACGUGUCGGAGCUUGACGGUAUCGUAAGAAUAAGGAUCGGCUAACUCCGUGCCAGCAGCCGCGGUAAUACGGAGGAUCCAAGCGUUAUCCGGAAUCAUUGGGUUUAAAGGGUCCGUAGGCGGUUUAGUAAGUCAGUGGUGAAAGCCCAUCGCUCAACGGUGGAACGGCCAUUGAUACUGCUAGACUUGAAUUAUUAGGAAGUAACUAGAAUAUGUAGUGUAGCGGUGAAAUGCUUAGAGAUUACAUGGAAUACCAAUUGCG